rnacentral:sRNA from 1 species
UCACUGGUAACACACAUUGGUUGUACA